AAAAUAAUUAGGAAUUCAAAUCAAAUUUCGAGCAAUUGUUUUAAAUGCUCCGAUCCUCUGCAAACCGGAGCGUGAGAGAGCGCAGUGAACCGGGAGGAAGCACGCGUAAGUGUGCGUCAAGGGACAAGCGUAAAAAAGGAAGAUAUGAAAAAGAAUACAACGUUGGAUAUAAGAGAGUUAAUUAUAAUCGUGGGACUUGUGGUCAGGACGACGUUAACCCGUGACAGUUAUUAUGCUUCUAAGUAGAAUCGCAUUACCACCAAUUAUCAUCCAUAAGACUUUCAUAGAAUUUCCUAAAGUGUCUGCAAGAAAUAUGGCGGCAAUCCUUACGGCAUAGUCCCGAAUAAAGGGCUAUAACUCCACAAAGCUGUAACUUCAUUCCGUCGUAUUGAUUCUAUCAAAAAAGUGGAAGAAAACGUCGGUAACGUAAAAUUUAACGUGCAGAGUGGAGAGAAAGUGGAGUGGAACACACGUACGUAGUUGUGGAACUGGCUACGACGAGCUCCAGCCAAGUGAAGCGUAUAUCAGACACUUCGUGACGUACGAGGCGUCCGAUGAUUUGUUUACGAGUCGCUCUCCAAUCGCGACUCUUUGUUUUCGUGCUGUGUUGAGCACAGAUUGAGGCACUAUUCUUAACGAAUGUAUCAACCGUUUAAACUGCGACGAAACGAUCGCGAAUUCAAUAUACCAACGCUUAACACAACGCUAUAAUUAUUGUUCCAGAAACU